AUUGAACGCUGGCGGAAUGCUUUACACAUGCAAGUCGAACGGCAGCACGGACUUCGGUCUGGUGGCGAGUGGCGAACGGGUGAGUAAUGUAUCGGAACGUGCCCAGUCGUGGGGGAUAACGUAGUGAAAAUUACGCUAAUACCGCAUACGAUCUAUGGAUGAAAGCGGGGGAUCGCAAGACCUCGCGCGAUUGGAGCGGCCGAUAUCAGAUUCGGUAGUUGGUGGGGGAAAGGCCCACCAAGCCAACGAUCUGUAGCUGGUCUGAGAGGACGACCAGCCACACUGGACCUGAGACACGGUCCAGACUCCUACGGGAGGCAGCAGUGUGGAAUUUUGGACAAUGGGCGAAAGCCUGAUCCAGCCAUUCCGCGUGCAGGAUUAAGGCCCUCGGGUUGUAAACUGCUUUUGUACAGAACGAAAAGGUUUCUACUAAUACUAGGAGCUCAUGACGGUACUGUAAGAAUAAGCACCGGCUAACUACGUGCCAGCAGCCGCCGUAA
rnacentral:rRNA from 1 species